CUAUCUGUCUGUUUGUCUGUCUGCCUGUUGCCUGCCUGCCUCUGUCUGUGGGAAAUGGCGGCUAAACAGGACAGAGGGAGAGCAGAGGAUGUUAUUUUCCUCGCAGACUUGCUUCUGGCUCAAGAAAAAGCAAAGGACAAAGCAGCAUCCACUACACUUGCUAAAGGCUACAAGUUUAAUGUCUGAUGGGUGGAGAGAGAUGCAGAUGGAUUUCCACUGUUCAAAAGAAGCCGAAGUGGAGAGACAAGGAAACAAGGAACAAGGAAACCUUCAGCCACAGUUUCUGUGUUUGCCACUAAGGAGGCCUCUACCCCUUUGGAGUCAGCUGAGGAGGUUCCCACAGUGACCCAAGACAACUGCUCUCAACAGUUAUUUGACAAUGAGAUGCAGAGUCUGAAGGACAUUCUGAAGUCAGCAAAUGCUUCAGAGCACUUCAACAUCCACAUCAUGGAGCUUCCGACAAUCUGUAGCCCAAGAUGAGUGGCGGAAGGCAAGGUCUCAUCACCUUGAGUGUUUGCUGUCCUGCAAUGAGGUGCCAGAACGGAAGUGCUGCCACUGCGCAUCCCCUGCCAUAAUCCGCUGCAGAGACUGCAUGCCACAGGAGUGACUGUGUAUGGAGUGUGACGUACACAUUCAUGCAAAACUGGUACUCCAUAACAGGGAUUCCUGCAUUGAUGGCAUUUACAAAGCCAUUGAGCCAAUGGUGUGCUGUAUAAAGCAGGAAGGCACAUAUUCACUGGUCAAUCAAGUACAUCUAUUGCCGACUGUGAGACCUUCCCAGCUGUGCACAUGUGACCCAAAAAACAUAAUCGAGUCAGCUGGCAGAGCAGUAAUUUUGGUUUGCAUAAAUGGUCGGUAUGAUUUGCACCUUCCAAAUCUGCCGUGCAGUUUGUGUCUGGCACAGUGGACACCCGAUAAAGGCGACCUUAUAAAGAGCGGCUAUUGGCCAGCAACAGUACAUGCUGACACGCUGUUUUCAAUUGAUGUUUUCACCACAUUUGAAGAGAUGAAAACUGUUGCGCCCAGUUUGUCCAGGCAAGGUUUUGUGAGGAUGUUGGAGAGGAGGACUUCUCACUUUGGAAGGUGUAUAUUCUGCCAGCACCAGUGUGACAACAUGGCCGAAGUCGAAUCGUUCACCUGCCCGGCAUGUACACCAAAUAUGCUAGCCCUCUGUGCAGAUGGCAACAGAAAGCAGUACAGAUUUCAGCAGUCAAAAGGGUCAGAGGAACCAUAUUUUGACGGCACCUUUAUUUGUAAGGACACUGAAGUACACCAUUUUGUUGAGGACAUCGGGAACAGAUUUAAAAGUACUGCUGGCAGAGGGAUCUGUGGAGCCAGUCAGUGGUCUGCUGCUCGUGAAACUGCCAGAAGAGCAAGCAAACUGGACGAAGAAGGCCUUGAGGUGGUUGUUUGCAGGCAUGGAGUGCUGCUCAAGGCUCUGAACAUGUACAGGGGGGAAAUUUUUGCCUAUCCCCUCUUCCUGCAGAAGAAUUUUCAGGCAGCCACAAACGGGCAUUUCUUCUGCACAGACAUGGCCUGCAAGUACUGCCCCACCAGGAGAAGCUGACAGUGUCCAUGAUGGAUCUCAGACCUUUGCUACAGAUGAGGCCAUUCCUUUCCGUUAUGCACGCCAAGGCCCAUUCAACAAAGUGUGAGAUCAUAUGGAGUGGCAGAAAUCAGGAGGGUGCUGGCACAACUGCUGGAGAAGAGGUAGAAAUGGUCAACAGCUACCUUUCUCGUCGUGCCCUCACCACCAAGUACAUGACAAAAUCUGACUUUCCAAAAAGCUCAGACUGAGUCUCAGAGACUGGAGGACUUGAGCAGUGAACUUGGGUGUCCUGAGAACAUGGUGGAGCAGUGGGUACAUGAUGUCAGACAAUGGGCCACUGACGAUUGUGUAGGUACCCGAUGUGAUGACCAACAUAACCUUCAGCAAUCAAUUGAACACAUGUUUCUUGGUGUUCAUCAGAAAAAGGCCAGCCUUUAUACUCAGACUGACAGCAACAAAAUCCACCACUUGCGAAGAAGAAAAUUGGGGGAAGAGAAGAAAAAACUCUUCGAAACAAUCAAGCUCUACAAUGAGCAGGUACCAGAUGAGGAGCAGAUCGAUGAGGCGAAGGUGGAGAGCAGACUCUCUGUGGUGGGAGACGACAGCGGAGCAGAUUUAAUAUGGCCAUGGGAAGUGCACAGCAGUGACUCCAGCAAUAUCCUCACCAAGAAGAUUUUUGAUGCAUACAUAUCAAAAGUGCAGCUUCAAGAGGAAAAGGUCAUUGUGAUGAGGGAGAUGAGACAGCACUGCACUUACCCCAGAAAUCUGGCUGCGAGUAUCAGGACAAAGAUAUCGCAAAUGUCUUCUGUCAGGAACAGUGAAAGCUUAAGUGAAGAGGGGCAUCGUGGGCUAUGUUGUCUUCUUCAGAAAAGGCUUGCAGAUGUGGAGGAGAAGUUCCAAGUUGUAUGCUCAACUUACAGCCAGGCAUUGGGACCAAAUGCUGCUUCUUUGCUGGAGGACUGGCCUGAAGAGAUACCGGAGGACCAUAAAGAAGCUGACUGUGAGAGUUCAGAUGACAGUGAUUUUGAGGCAAUGUAAAUCAGUGCUUCUCAACUGGUGGGUUGCGUGUCAGUUCUGAUUGGACUGGAACUAUGUUUCAAGCAAAACCUUAUUAAGAAGUGUAAUGGACACUAGUUUGAUAUAGUGCUUUUAUUUUUUAAUGUCAUUGCCUGCAGUGUGUAAGCAACACUAGAUUCACUGAUGGAAAGGAAACUAUUUUAGAUGUUUAUGUGAUUUUUCCAAAACUCAGCAGGUCAAUUAUUUAUUUUCAUCCCACCCCUAAUGUUUCAGGGACUAUUACCACUGCCAACUGCUGUGCUGCAGCCUGUGACACCACCGUCUUUAGCUGGCAACGUCCCCAUGCUUUGCUCAACUGCUAAGGCAGAGGGUGAAUCUUGUCAUAACUUGUACUGUAAGGCAACCAUCAUUGAAAAACGUGCAAAGCCCAUUCUUCCUGCAUGAUCUUUAGGGCCGUCUCCAAAUAAGAUUUCUUUCAGGUGAAUCAGAUUUGACAAUUCAAUAUGAAUAUUGUACAUUCCUUCCACUUGUUUUUGGAAAUGUUUUGGUUAUUCAACUGUUCUUUGAUAGUGAACUGAAUAUUUUGGCUCAUAAGUAAAACAAGGCAUUUUUGGAUGUCACCUUUGGCUUUAGGAAAAAAUUAUUGACAUUUAUCACCAUUGUCUGACAUUGUUUGACAUUGUCUUAUUUUUAAUGGGUUUUUUUUCUUCAAAUUAUGGGUUGACAGCAGUGUCUUAUUUCUGAGCUCAGGAUAGUAUUACACUUUGGAGACCUAAAUAAUAAUCGGUAACUCUUAAAGUACAUUUUGCUGACAACACGUUUUCCGUUGUUAAGGUUUUGCAUUCAAGACUUUUGUAGCUGAGUUUUUUCACUGUGUUAUCAGUGUUUUUCAUUAUGUAAAGGAAAUUAAUACUUCUCUUCCACUGGAUGUAGUUUGUAUUGGUUUGUAGUGUAUACUUCAGUAAGAUGUCAUUCAUGAUGACACUACAUGAGAUACUUCCCAAAACAUGACCUAUCAAUACCAAUAGUUGAGUCUUGGGUGUUUUGAUUUUUGUUGUCAUUACUGCUGUUACUGUACCAACCAAAGGAACUCAUUUGUCAUGACAUUACUGUUCA